AAAGGAAUUGACGGGGGCCCGCACAAGCGGUGGAGCAUGUGGUUUAAUUCGACGCAACGCGAAGAACCUUACCAGGGCUUGACAUUGUCAUGAAGGCCCAAGAGAUUGGGAGUCCUCUUCGGAGGCAUGAUAACAGGUGGUGCAUGGUUGUCGUCAGCUCGUGUCGUGAGAUGUUGGGUUAAGUCCCGCAACGAGCGCAACCCUUGUUGUUAGUUGCCAACACAUCAGGUGGGCACUCUAAUGAGACUGCCGGUGACAAACCGGAGGAAGGUGGGGAUGACGUCAAAUCAUCAUGCCCUUUAUGUCCUGGGCUACACACGUGCUACAAUGGCCUGUACAGAGGGAAGCCAAGGAGCGAUCUGGAGCAAAUCCCAAAAAGCAGGUCCCAGUUCGGAUUGUAGGCUGCAACUCGCCUGCAUGAAGUCGGAAUCGCUAGUAAUCGCAGAUCAGCAUGCUGCGGUGAAUACGUUCCCGGGCCUUGUACACACCGCCCGU
rnacentral:rRNA from 1 species